CACGAUCCCACGCGGCGUUUUUUCUCCCAAACGUCUCCGUUUCAGCAAGGAAUUUUGGGGGAACGAUUUACAUUUAUUGGACACUUUACGCUCGAGCGUACUUAGUCACCGUCGAUGCUUCGUUAAAGUCGAUGAGAAAAGCGCAGCCGUAUUAUUCGACGAAAUCAUGGAACCGCUUCUCGAUAAACGUCUAAAACCGUGGAUGCAGCCGGGUGUUGGACGCGGAGGUGGCGUGGCCCACACAGGUGGGACAGGUGACGACGAGGCUCCAAAAGAUCCCGGUGUUCGGAUCACUCAUCAGUCUUACACCGAGAAAGACUACGAAGGUCACAGAGCGCACACGGUGUACGUGGGCGUGCAUCUGCCAGGAGAAAGGAGACAUCGUCGUCACCACAAGCACCAUCAUUCCCAGCGUCAAACGUACACCACCGCCAAGGAAAAUGUCGACAACGAUAGACCGAUUACACCGCCAGCCCAAAGGGUUCAGUUCAUCCUGGGCGAGGAAGUCGGCGACGAUGCCCACGAGUCCCAUCCUCUCUUCUCCGAGAUGGAGGAGCUCGUCAAGGAUGGCGACGAGAUGGAAUGGAAGGAAACGGCCAGAUGGAUCAAAUUCGAGGAAGACGUGGAGGAGGGUGGAAACAGAUGGAGCAAACCCCACGUAGCGACUCUGUCGUUGCACUCAUUGUUCGAACUUAGGAGCCUGCUGUUAAAUGGCACCGUGAUGCUAGACAUGGAGGCGAGCAGCCUCGAACAAAUUGCCGAUUUGGUUCUCGACAAUAUGAUCAACAAGGGCUCGUUAGCCAUUGAAUCACGGGAGAAGGUUAAGGAGGCUCUUCUAGUGAGGCAUCGACACCAACACGAGAGGCGCAAAGACAACAACAUGUCCAGGCUACCAAUCAUCAGAUCGCUGGCUGAGAUAGGGCGGAAUCAUUCCUCUUCAAAGAAUGAAGACUGUUCAUGUGGUUUGCAUGCCUUGUUGACGUCAGAUUUACAGGAGCGUCGCGAAGCCGUUGACGCGUACGCGCCCGCGGUCGCGCGCAGCAGUAGCUGUCCAAACUCGAACACCGCCCUUUUAUCGAAAGAGGCGAAAGAUCUAAAAGGGCCUUAUCUACUGGUUCCAGGCCAAGAACCAGGCACCAAUGGGAUGGAUCGAAGUCCAAGCAGCGUGUCAAUUAGCAGAAACCACAGUUCGUCAGCUUUGGAGAACGGAGACGCGAAUCACAGGGCUAACAUACACUUUAUGAGGAAAAUACCGGCAGGGGCUGAAGCGAGCAAUAUUCUCGUUGGAGAGGUGGAUUUUUUAGAUAAAACCCUGUCAGCGUUUAUUCGGCUAAGCCAAGCGGGAAUAAUGGGAGAUCUGACGGAAGUUCCAGUGCCAACGAGAUUUAUAUUCGUCCUGUUGGGACCUACGGGAGGAAUCUCGGGUUUUCACGAAAUCGGUCGUGCGAUGGCCACGUUGAUGUCCGACGAAGUUUUCCACGACGUGGCUUACAAAGCGAAGAAUAGAAAUCACUUGCUUGCUGGAAUCGACGAGUUCCUGGACGCAGUCACGGUUCUACCUCCCGGGGAAUGGGACCCUGCCAUCAGGAUAGAACCACCCGCAGCGAUUCCUUCGCAGGACGUAAGAAAACGGCCGAAAGAGGAGAAACCAAAAGAGGAAUACGACGAAGAAGCGGACGAACAGAAACUGAGGGAAGAAUCAGGACUGUCGAGAACAGGAAGACUGUUCGGUGGUUUGGUCAACGACGUGAAGAGGAAGGCACCGUUUUACUUCUCCGAUUUUAAAGACGCCUUGGCGAUUCAAUGCGUGGCCUCUUUCAUUUUCCUCUACUUUGCCUGUCUAUCGCCUAUCAUCACCUUCGGUGGCUUGCUAGGCGAAGCUACCGGCAAGAACAUGGCCGCCAUGGAGUCGCUGGUUUCCGGUUUCGUAUGCGGUAUCGGUUAUGGAUUUUUCUCGGGACAACCUCUGACCAUUCUCGGUUCCACCGGACCUGUUUUGGUCUUCGAAACGAUCGUCUACGAAUUUUGCAAAAAAUCCGACUGGAAUUACAUGUCCUUCCGUUUCUGGAUCGGCUCGUGGAUAACCCUGAUCCUGAUAAUUCUGGUUGCCGUCGACGCCAGCGCCCUGGUGUGCUACAUAACCCGAUUCACGGAAGAAAACUUUGCCACCCUCAUCGCGUUUAUCUUCAUUUAUAAGGCUAUCGAGAACGUAUUAUCGAUAGGUAAAAAAUACCCGAUUAAUACUCAUGCCAACGACCCGUUCAGUUUCGAAUGCUGGUGCAGGCCACCGAACGGCAGUCUACCGUCUAGCUACGACAACGUCAAUUGGACGGCAUUGGAUCCAAAAACAUGCCAGAGCUACAACGGCACGCUUAUAGGAGAUGGUUGCAACCAACCGCACUACAUACCCGAUGUGUUCCUCAUGUCAAUUAUACUCUUUAUGGGCACAUUCUUACUAUCCGUCGAGCUGAAAGAUUUCAAAAACGCUCUCUUCUUCCCAUCAAAGGUCAGACAGGUGGUCAGCGAUUUCGCGGUAAUAAUCGCGAUCUUCUCGAUGAGCGCGCUCGAUCACUUCGUCAACAUCCCGACGCCGAAGUUGGAGGUACCUGUAGAAUUUAAACCAACAUUGGCCGAUCGAGGAUGGAUGAUCUGGCCGUUCCAAAGCAAUCCAUGGUGGAGCGCCAUCGUCGCCUGUCUACCCGCCCUCUUAGGCACUAUAUUAAUAUUCAUGGAUCAGCAAAUUACAGCGGUGAUAGUGAACAGGAAAGAGAACAAACUGAAGAAAGGAUGCGGUUAUCACUUGGAUCUGUUCAUUCUCGCGAUACUGAUAGAAAUUUGCUCUGUAAUGGGACUGCCAUGGUUCGUCGCAGCUACGGUGCUUUCUAUAAACCACGUGAACUCUUUGAAGCUUGAAUCCGAAUGCGCUGCACCGGGAGAGAAACCGCAGUUUCUUGGCGUACGGGAACAACGCGUCACGCAUAUAUUGAUCUUCUUGAUGAUCGGUUGUUCGGUGCUGUUGACGCCGAUGUUGAAACACAUACCGAUGCCUGUGCUCUUUGGCGUCUUUCUCUACAUGGGUGUCGCUUCUUUGAAGGGUCUACAGUUCUUCGACAGGAUACUUAUCAUGCUGAUGCCCGUCAAGUAUCAACCGGACUACAUGUUCCUACGGCAGGUACCCUUGAAACGCGUGCAUGUAUUCACCGCGAUACAACUGACCUGUUUGGCUGUUUUGUGGAUCAUCAAGUCUUUCAGCAGCACCUCCAUUUUGUUCCCAUUGAUGCUCGUAGUUAUGAUCGGGAUACGCAAGUCCCUGGACCUGUUGUUCACUCAACGAGAACUGAAGAUCCUGGACGACGUGAUGCCGGAGCCGAGCAAGAAGCACGCCGACGAUCUUCGCCAAUUGGAGAGCGGCGAGGAACAGAACGAGUCUAUGGGGUACGGACCAGCUGGGAACAUCCAGAUUUCCUUGGCGAACGGGAAUAUCAUGAAGAUUCCGAUGACGAGUAUCAACAUCAGCGAGGAGGUGAACAAGACGGGCAUUUGGCAGCAGGUGAACGAAGGCAACGAGAAACCGAAACAGACCAAAUUGAUCAGCACUGGGAAACAAAAGAAACAUUCGAAGAAGGAAAACUCGUUGAUGGCUGACGAGACUACGAGGCUAACUACGAUGACCGAAGAGGACGAGGAUGACAGUGGGAUCUCUAUUAAGGUGACAAACGUAAAUGACUCUAAAUUCUAACCACCAUCACCAUCACCAAACCAAGUCACACAGCAAGAGCACCAAUACACGGGCAUGCAACAUAAACCCUGUACGCUACUGUAGACUUGAUACGAUCGAAGGAAAGCAUCAGCCCGUUAACGAUUAACGGCACUACCUCGGCCGAGACUUCCGUCUAACGAAAGCAACACGGUUCAAAGGAAACGAAUCCUCGAGUCGUGAAACAAUUCCAAGAAUUUCCAUUUUUUUUUUUUUUUCCAUUGCGACUAAUCAAUACAGAGUAUCUCUAAAGAUAUAAAUGAUAAGGGAUGCGUGCGGAUUGUAACUGGAGAUACACGAGGGACAAUUAACUUUUUAUUUCACGGUAAAUGAAAUCGGUUCGGUGUAAUUAACGAGUGCUACUACCGUUGAAUAUCAAGGUGAAACCGACACACAACCUUUCAUUCGAUAAAAAUAACGCACACCGUUGAAAUUAAGAUAGAGAACGAUUGUAUUGAUUUAAGGUUCGAUCGUCGUCGAAUUGUCGAAUCCUUAAGUCUACCGUUGUCAGUGUGCAAUAUUAACGUGUAUUUAUUAAAUUUAGCUAAUAUAGAGUCUGUGACCAUGAUAGAUACGCCAAUGAAACCCCCUUCGAUAUUUUCGACGUUUCCUUCGAGGGAUGUUUUUUGUCGAGGAACUUUGAAACGGAUAGAGAAAUGCAUCGAGAGGGUUGUUUGAUAUUUUCACGAAUACUCGUAUUAGGUAGACAUUUCUUUGUCAGCUCGAUUGCUUUCUAUUCCUUUCUUUAGAAGGGUUGAAAACAGCUUUUGAUACGUCAAAUACCGGCCAGCAGUGACAAUAUUUAUUAUAAAGUAUACAGAAUGCCGAUCACCCUGUAUACAGCAUCUUUUUUACGUAAGAACGACAGAGAAGAUAAUUUAUCAAAAUGAAAUUUACGGGGGAAAAUUUGAACGUGAUGGUUAGUCAAGACUUUUUCAUUUUUACCGAGAGAAAAAUAUUUAACGCGGUCCCUUGAAGGAUGUCCUUUUUUCGUUCGUUGAAAGUAAACGAACGAUCAGAAUUUUUAUCGUACUGCAAGUCUUUCAGGUAGAGAAUGCAACGAUUUGGAUAGUUGAGGAUCGUUGCGCAAACUAAUUGUUAUUUUUCUUCUCCACCGAUUUCCUCACCGAGGCAGACUAACGGAGAAAGAUCGGUAGGAGGAGAUUAGCAGAGGAUAUUUGAUACGAUAUUUUUCAGACGACGCGUUAUCGUGUUAUUAGCUGUUGAAACAAUUGUUCAGAGUUUUGUUCGUCGAUGAACAAGUAAACGAGUCAUUGUGUAAUGUCAACGUGUCGUAGAAUUGUAUAUUAAUGAUAAAGAAAAGAACGUGGUGAAUAAACCCUUGGGGGAUGGAAUACCCAUUGGGGGUUGAUAAGCCAGCAAGCGAACGGUAUUCCGGUAGAGUGUAUAUAUUUUCGAUCUGCAUAUUUUUCGAGAAUCGCUGACACGUUCAUUGCGAUUUUUUACCAAACAGUACAUCGGAAUUCAUCAUUUUAGCAGAUCUAGCUUCGCGUUUGAUCAAUUCUUCAAACCGGAAUACCGUCGACAAGAACGAGGUUGUUAGCGAAGAUGCAUAAACGUAGAACGAUAACCCUCGAAUGGUGGAAAUUUUACGUAUCGGAAAGAUUGAUGAAGAAUCGAAACUCUGAGCAAAGACACGCCGUUCGAGGAUUAAUUUACUUUUUAAACAUAUUCGUUUGAUUUUCAUUGCGACAUAAAAUAAGUGUGCGUUACGAAUAAGUUUCAUGACGAUCCACGUAAAUAAGAAAGUGACCACGUAAUGUUUUAUAGGAUAAUAGAAAAUACUCGUAUUUUAGACGCUUUAACAUCCGUGAUCACAAAUAGUACGCGUACACGUGCGAAGAAACGAAGAAACUCAACAAUGUUAAUCAGCCACGAUCAUAUAAUUCGCUGCCAUGCAUGCAAUCGAUGUAUUAUUAUUCCUCUUUGACGGAAUUGCUGAUAAAUUCUGAUUAAAAAGAUAGAAGAAAAAAAGAA